GAUCAAGCGCGAGAAGGGCGUUUGGUGGAUGCCUUGGCAGUAAGAGGCGAUGAAGGACGUGAUACUCUGCGAUAAGCUUUGGGAAGUCGAGAAUAGACGCUAUACCCAAAGAUCUCCGAAUGGGGCAACCCAACUGAUACUUUGUUAUUGUUACACUUUGUGUAAUCAAUAAUGGGGUAAAACAGUUAUUAAUUACCUGAAUACAUAGGGUUUUUAAAGCAAACCUGGGGAACUGAAACAUCUAAGUACCCAGAGGAAAGGAAAUCAAUAGAUACUCCCGUAGUAGUGGCGAGCGAACCGGGACCAGCCGAGCAAUGAAUGUGACUAGAACCAGUUGGAAAGCUGGGCGAUAUGGGUGACAGCCCCGUAUAGGAAGCAUGAUUUGACGUAUUAAGUAGGGCGGAACACGUGAAAUUCUGUCUGAACAUGGGGGGACCACCCUCUAAGGCUAAGUACUCCUUACUGACCGAUAGCGAACCAGUACCGUGAGGGAAAGGUGAAAAGCACCCCGACGAGGGGAGUGAAACAGUUUCUGAAACCGGACGCCUACAAACAGUUGGAGCCCCUUAUGGGGUGACAGCGUACCUUUUGUAUAAUGGGUCAACGACUUGGUCUUACUAGCAAGCUUAAGCCGAUAGGUGUAGGCGCAGCGAAAGCGAGUCUUAAUAGGGCGAAUGAGUUAGUAGGAUCAGACCCGAAACCGAGUGAUCUAGGCAUGAGCAGGUUGAAGGUAAGGUAACACUUACUGGAGGACCGAACCCACAUCUGUUGAAAAAGAUCGGGAUGACUUGUGCCUAGGGGUGAAAGGCCAAUCAAACUCGGAGAUAGCUGGUUCUCCGCGAAAUCUAUUUAGGUAGAGCGUCGCACGAAUACCUUGGGGGGUAGAGCACUGAAUGGGUAAUGGGGACUCACCGUCUUACUGAUCCUAA
rnacentral:rRNA from 1 species